rnacentral:rRNA from 1 species
UACGUAGGGUGCGAGCGUUAAUCGGAAUUACUGGGCGUAAAGCGUGCGCAGGCGGUUCGUUAAGUCAGGUGUGAAAGCCCCGGGCUCAACCUGGGAAUUGCAUUUGAGACUGAAUAGCUAGGGUGCGGAAGAGGGAAGCGGAAUUUCCGGUGUAGCGGUGAAAUGCGUAGAUAUCGGAAGGAACACCAGUGGCGAAAGCGGCUUCCUGGUCCAGCACCGACGUCAGGCACGAAAGCGUGGGGAGCAAACAGG